GACGAACGCUGGCGGCGUGCCUAAUACAUGCAAGUUGAGCGCUGAAGGUUGGUACUUGUACCAACUGGAUGAGCAGCGAACGGGUGAGUAACGCGUGGGGAAUCUGCCUUUGAGCGGGGGACAACAUUUGGAAACGAAUGCUAAUACCGCAUAAAAACUUUAAACACAAGUUUUAAGUUUGAAAGAUGCAAUUGCAUCACUCAAAGAUGAUCCCGCGUUGUAUUAGCUAGUUGGUGAGGUAAAGGCUCAACAAGGCGAUGAUACAUAGCCGACCUGAGAGGGUGAUCGGCCACAUUGGGACUGAGACACGGCCCAAACUCCUACGGGAGGCAGCAGUAGGGAAUCUUCGGCAAUGGACGAAAGUCUGACCGAGCAACGCCGCGUGAGUGAAGAAGGUUUUCGGAUCGUAAAACUCUGUUGGUAGAGAAGAACGUUGGUGAGAGUGGAAAGCUCAUCAAGUGACGGUAACUACCCAGAAAGGGACGGCUAACUACGUG
rnacentral:rRNA from 1 species